GGCGGCAACGACCGAGUUGACGCCAGAACAGCUGUCUUCACAGCAGACAAGUUGCUAAAGGUUUGUUUGGCGUCACGCGUUUGGUUAGUGCCGAACGUAAAAGUUUCUUAAUAUGUGCAGGUGGGCAUUUUAGAGGCAGCCAGAAGCGGGAAUGCGCCUUCUAAUUCGGAGUGCCAAACGGCAUUGAGAGCUACGAACAGUUUCCAUGGAGCAAAAAGUCCAGCCAUUCCUGACGAGGCUCUUGCUGUGCUGUGGAAAAUUCAGCACGUGAUGAAGUACGAUGAAGUCCCCGUCCUAUUUGACUUCACCGCGCUGGUUUACCUGGCAGGAUAUUCGGCUUUCGUUUGUGAAGAAAAGGUAACAUGCCCAGCGUGCAAACUGCAGUUGAAAGGAAAAGCUUCACGCGAGGGUGCAUACCAGUUCGUCUUCAGCCUUGACUAAGGAGGGCUCAGCUACCCCCGACCUCAAGUUGUCUGGUUGUGUAAGCUGGUCUGUACCUUCGCUGAAAAAGCACUGCACUCAGCAGAGAUCCGUCGCUGUGGACAAAUAUGCAAACUGCUCUCAAGUGCUGUACUUCCACACCUCACAAGCUGCCCUCUGAUGUGGUGUUCCGCUUGCAGAGACCCGUACCACUGUGAAGAACUGUGUGAGCUCUUUAUCAAGAAGCUGCUGAGGCCACUCUUGGCCAACUGGGCUGGAGAUCUCAACAGCUCUCUAGAAAAUAUACUAAAACUUUCUCGAAAACCA